CACGUAGGGUGCAAGCGUUGUCCGGAAUUAUUGGGCGUAAAGGGCUCGUAGGCGGCCAACUAAGUCAUACGUGAAAUCCCUCGGCUUAACCGGGGAACUGCGUCUGAUACUGGAUGGCUUGAGUUCGGGAGAGGGAUGCGGAAUUCCAGGUGUAGCGGUGAAAUGCGUAGAUAUCUGGAGGAACACCGGUGGCGAAGGCGGCAUCCUGGACCGAUACUGACGCUGAGGAGCGAAAGCCAGGGGAGCAAACGGG
rnacentral:rRNA from 1 species